ensembl:lncRNA
ACAGUCACACAUAGAGAAGGACUGUGUGAGGAUACAGGGAGAAGGUGACCAUGUACGAGGCCAGGAGAGAGGCCUCUGGAGAAAACUGCUGGCCGACACCUCGGUCUCAGACUUCGAGCCUCCAGGAUGGUUUUAAAUAUUUAUAAAGUUUAUGGUGAGAGUUGGACCAUAAAGAAGGCUGAGCACCAAAGAAUAGAUGCUUUUGAACUGUGGUGUUAGAGAAGACUCUUCAGGGUCCGUUGGACUGCAAAGAGAUCAAACCAGUCCAUCCUAAAGGAAAUCAACCCUGAAUAUGCAUUGAAAGGACAUAUGCUGAAGCUAAAGCUCCAAUACUUUGGCCACCUGAUGCAAAGAGCCGACUCAUUGGAAAAGACCCUGAUACUGGGAAAGAUUGAAGGCAAGAGGAGAAGGGGACGACAGAGGAUGAGAUGAUUGGAUGGUGAGAGAGUCAGUUCCAAGAUGUAACUUCCCGUCAGCAGCGUGUGAGGUCGUCCUGGGGACAACUCUUCAGUUAAGCAAG